CUACGGGCCGCUGCAGUGAGGAAUAUUGGUCAAUGGGCGCAAGCCUGAACCAGCCAUCCCGCGUGCAGGAUGACAGCCCUAGAGGUUGUAAACUGCUUUUGUAUAGGAAGAAUAAGAGCUACGUGUAGCUUGAUGACUGUACUAUACGAAUAAGCACCGGCUAACUCCGUGCCAGCAGCCGCGGUAAUACGGAGGGUGCAAGCGUUAUCCGGAUUUAUUAGGUUUAAAGGGUGCGUAGGCGGGAUCUUAAGUCAGUGGUAAAAGGCAUUAGCUUAACUAAUGUAAGCCAUUGAAACUGGGAUCCGUGAGUUCGGUUGAGGUAGGCGGAAUGUGUUGUGUAGCGGUGAAAUGCAUAGAUAUAACACAGAACACCGAUUGCGAAGGCAGCUUACUAAGCCGUUACUGACGCUGAUGCACGAAAGCGUGGGUAUCAAACAGGAUUAGAUACCCUUGUAGUC
rnacentral:rRNA from 1 species